rnacentral:lncRNA from 1 species
GAUCGAAUCUCAAGACAUAUUUUCUAACAAUCUUCAUCUUGACUCGAUAUUCGGUCUCCACCUGACUUUGAGAGCUUUUAAUUGGAUUUCCUCACCCCCAUGUCCUGGGAUAAUAGCUUGCUACUCAUGCUUGGGCGAACAUGAAAGUCGAGCCAGACCGUUUGAUCUCAUCUCCGUCACAUCCCGUGCACAUCCUGACCUGAAAUAUGCUCGAGGUC